rnacentral:tRNA from 1 species
GGCAGGGUAGCGAAGAGGCUAAACGCGGCGGACUGUAAAUCCGCUCCUUCGGGUUCGGGGGUUCGAAUCCCUCUCUCUCCA